rnacentral:lncRNA from 1 species
UCGAUAUUUAAUUAAAUUUAUAAAAUAAAACCAAAAAGUUAUAGGAAAAAAAAAUGUGUAGAAUAUGUGAAGUUUGUCAAGAGUACAAAAAUUGAGAAACGUGAGUGAAAUAUCAAACUGGCGUGUGACAUGGCAGUGGAAUAAACGUAUCUAACGUAAAGUUCGUUUGUGUAUGGUGUGACGUGGUAUUUGUUUUUUUUUUCUAAUUUAUGUUUUCGUUUUUUACGAAGCUGUACUCUUGAGAUUACAGUCUCUAGAAAGGAUGACGUGUUGAGAUUUGGUUGGUCGGGAGAGCCUUUUUAGUUUCUGCUCCGACCAGAGUAGAGAAGAGUUACGUAAU